CCGCUCAGUGCCACCGCCAGGUGUUGCACGCACGACACCGGUAUGAGGAGGAAGAAGAAGACCGCCCUUUCCCCGUGGCAGUCGUAAAAGAAAUAAAAAAAGACAAUACACAGACGGAUCUACCGAAUCGCCGAUAGACUCUCCUUUAAGAAGCCUCAAUGAAUAACCAAUAGUAACCGUUGUAUUGGUGUCGCGGAACGGGCUACCUCCAACAAGUGGUCCAUUGUUAUCCUACGUAGCUGAAAGGGGUCUCCGUCUUCCUUCUAUUUUAUCCUUCUUCUUCCGGUACGCACAGAAUACGACCGUGAACAUGUUGUGAAUGGUUACAAAUUCUUAAACGUACGCUCAGAAACAACGAUGGAAGAUUGCUAGACAUUCUACGAAAUGAAAAACGAAGGAAAAUAUCUCGUACGGUAUCUCUUACACAAGUACAUCGUAGAUUUCUUCGAUCGAUUUUAUCUUUGUAAACUGUUUUUUAUAAUUGUUGCAGAAUGAGCUGUAUGAGAAAAACCUAACACUGACUCUUACAUUAAUCGUAAUUCUUUGAAAUCAGGAGGUCACAGGAGUUUAGGACCUCACGCAUUUUUAUCUCGCUUCUCUCUGCGAAGAGAAGGAAUUAAAUUUUAUCGAAUAAGAAAUUCGUGCUGCGAUUCUCCACGUAUAUACGGUUCUCUCGGUGCAACUCCGCCUGCCAACAGCGAAUUCAAUUAGGAUUGCGCGGCGGUCGUACAAAAACAUUCGAUCAGGAAUAAACCGGCAGCCUGCCUGCCUCGCGGACGCUCUCUUACAACUCGUCUCGCUUUCCCGUUCGUGGACCAUGUAUAUAACGCAUAUAGGUUGGCGUUAUCGAUUGUACAUUUUAUCGCCGGAAACUCUUCGCAACAGAUAUUUCCGAUAGGAUGCGCAAACAAUUUUCGUACAUGUUAUAGAGUGAACCUCGUUCAGCGCAUUUUCUUCGCGAAAAUUCUUUGAUCGCAGUUUUAUCUCGUAACGUCUCUGCAUCUUCUCGAAAGAUAAAUCUCAUAACGAUUUUCUCUAAAUUUUCGAUUGUAUGUGAUCUAAAAUCGAGCAAGCAAUUUUAAAACCAGAGAAUGUGAGAGUUUUAUAUAUACAGAAUAUUUCUAUACAAAUAGAAUGUUUUUGUCUCGCUAGUUUAAGAUGCAACUUUCACUAUUUUCGAAUGUACAAUAGCCAGGGAUUUUCAAGAUUUGAAUAUCCUUAUUUUUGUACAGAUACUCGAGUGAUCGAAGAAUUGCCAUUCGAUGCACGCGCGGAUCGCAGUUAUAUUUCUGCGGACGGCCCCGAUUGCAUCUCCCUUUAUUCUCCCUCGAUCUUUUAUUCGCCUGUGACGCAAACCGCGACGAGGGAGAGAAAGAAAGGAUCCAGAGUAGCUCGCAGAAGAUCGAAAGAACACAGACGCAAAAAAAACCCGUCUGGCAUAAUCACAUUAUCGGUCACAUCUUGCUCGAUUUCUGCGUUCGCAGUUAGCGAACUUAUCCAGGACGAGCUUCUGUUUAGAGAAAACAAUGUAUUCUUGAAAAUAAUUUUAGGCAAACCGAUAUAUAUAUAUAUAUUAUCAUUUUUAUAAAAAUUAAUAAAAUAAAUGAUGUAUUUUUUUAUACAUA